AUUGAACGCUGGCGGCAUGCCUUACACAUGCAAGUCGAACGGUAACAGGUCUUCGGAUGCUGACGAGUGGCGAACGGGUGAGUAAUACAUCGGAACGUGCCUAGUAGUGGGGGAUAACUACUCGAAAGAGUGGCUAAUACCGCAUGAGAUCAACGGAUGAAAGCAGGGGAUCGCAAGACUUUGUGCUACUAGAGCGGCCGAUGGCAGAUUAGGUAGUUGGUGGGAUAAAAGCUUACCAAGCCGACGAUCUGUAGCUGGUCUGAGAGGACGAUCAGCCACACUGGGACUGAGACACGGCCCAGACUCCUACGGGAGGCAGCAGUGGGGAAUUUUGGACAAUGGGCGAAAGCCUGAUUCAGCAAUGCCGCGUGCAGGAUGAAGGCCUUCGGGUUGUAAACUGCUUUUGUACGGAACGAAAAGCCCCGGGUUAAUACCCUGGGGUCAUGACGGUACCGUAAGAAUAAGCACCGGCUAACUACGUGCCAGCCGCCGCCGUAA
rnacentral:rRNA from 1 species